AGACCAGACUCCUACGGGAGGCAGCAGUGGGGGAUAUUGCACAAUGGGGGAAACCCUGAUGCAGCGACGCCGCGUGGGUGAAGAAGCGCCUCGGCGCGUAAAGCCCUGUCAGCAGGGAAGAAAAUGACGGUACCUGAAGAAGAAGCCCCGGCUAACUACGUGCCAGCAGCCGCGGUAAUACGUAGGGGGCAAGCGUUAUCCGGAUUUACUGGGUGUAAAGGGAGCGUAGACGGCGAAGAAAGUCUGAAGUGAAAGCCCGCGGCUUAACCGCGGAACUGCUUUGGAAACUUUUUUGCUGGAGUACCGGAGAGGUAAGCGGAAUUCCUAGUGUAGCGGUGAAAUGCGUAGAUAUUAGGAAGAACACCAGUGGCGAAGGCGGCUUUCUGGACUGAAACUGACGCUGAGGCACGAAAGCGUGGGGAGCGAACAGGAUUAGAUACCCGAGUA
rnacentral:rRNA from 1 species